AUGGGAUUGCAAACCUAGUAGCUGCGCGUGCCGGCUGUUCAGGACUAGCGCAGGACUCCGGGCGCCCUCCGAGCCUACUCGUGCCGCUGCCCGGGCACUAGCUUCCCGAGAAAAGUCGUAGGACCAUGUCGAAUAUGGGGAAGCCGUUAUUUAACUUGAAGUUUGCUGCAAAAGAACUUAAUAGGAAUGCCAAGAAAUGUGAUGAAGAAGAAAAGGCUGAAAAGGCCAAGAUUAAAAGACUUCUGCCUUGAUGAACAAAUUCGAACACCAGUUUGAAAUAUUGGAUAUUCAAACACAACAAAUGGAAGAUAAAAUGAGUAACUCUACAACCCUAACAACACCACAAAACCAAAUGGAUAUGCUGCUUCAGGAAAUGCCAGAUGAAGCUAGGUAAGAAGUUAUCCAGGUGAUUGUGGAAAAUCUUGAUUUAGUAUCUAGAGGUUCUAAAAUGCUGUGAUAUAGAUGAAAAUAUUUCUCUUUUCCACGAAUUGCCAGAGUUAGGUUUGUGACCCUAGAAUUUAGUGUUUCAAGGGACUUUAAACAGUCAUCUAAUUCCUUGCCAUGCUCAUAAAAAUUUGACUGUGUUUCAAUCAUCUUAGUAUUUUCUUAAAAAUUUCUGGAAAUAGACUCAUUUAGUGUGUGUAAAGAAAUAGGCAAAGGUGAUCAAAGGAAGCAGGAAUGUUUAAACAAUUACCUAAUACCUACUGUUCGCUGCAUAUAUGAAAUAUAUGGUGUGUUUUGUUUUUUGUUUUUUUUAAAAAAGGACCUUCCAAAAUAAUUCUGCUGUGAUUAGGCCAUUGAGUCAUAAGUCUAGUUUGAGUACUGCAAACUGAGCAAUAUGUGCAAAAUGUGCAAGGGGCUCAAAAGACAGCAGUAUUACACAUAAUGAUUUGGUUGUUUCUUUUAAGUAAAUAGUUCAUACCCUUUUGUGAUAUUGUUAUUGGAAAUAGGGUGUAUAAUACAAGCUGUUUAUUUCAGGCCCUUCAUGUCAUGGGAGAAUGACUUAUCUAUGACAUCUUUGCUAUAGAGGUCAUGUUGUAUCAUUAUUCUCUGGUGUAAUGUUUGCUUCAAGAUAAUGUAGUAGUAAAAAAUAAAAAUUGAUGCUAAUGUUUUAUAAUUUAUUUUCAAAGGUAGAGAACUAGUUUGAAACAAGGCUUAGUCUUAUUUUGUUCUUUUCUCCUGGGAAGAGAAGAUUUGAAGACAUCUGGAAAACAGAGUAGAUAAAUACUACUCUCUUAUCUAAGCUAAUACCUGAUUAGAAUAAACAGUUAAGUUUAUCAACUCUUUCGAUCACUAAUAUAUUACUAAAGAAUUAAAAUCGAGAUUAAUAAAUUAAAAAUCAGGUUAGUAGUGUUCGAGAACAGGGCUGUGGGUUAAGUUGUGUGCUAUUUUGUUUUGUUAGUAUCCUAAAGUAGCCCAUAUAUGGAGGGGAACAAGAAAGGUGGUUUUCAUUAAAUAUUAUAACAAAGGCAUUGUGUGUCAGAAGACUCCGUCUUCUAAACAUAGUCUUUAUGAGGGACUAAGGACUUGUUUAGUUUCUGCUAAAGACUAAAUUAGACGAUUUGGCUUGAAAAUGCAACAAGGGAAGUCUUAUAAAAUGAAUGCU
rnacentral:lncRNA from 1 species